rnacentral:rRNA from 1 species
UACGUAGGGUGCGAGCGUUGUCCGGAAUUAUUGGGCGUAAAGGGCUCGUAGGCGGUUUGUCGCGUCGGGAGUGAAACUUCGGUCGUAACUCAGGGCUUGCGGUUGAUACGGGCGGGCUAGAGUUCGGUAGGGGAGACUGGAAUUCCUGGUGUAGCGGUGAAAUGCGCAGAUAUCAGGAGGAACACCGGUGGCGAAGGCGGGUCUCUGGGCCGAUACUGACGCUGAGGUGCGAAAGCGUGGGGAGCAAACAGG